rnacentral:sRNA from 1 species
UAGUCGCUGAGUUUGUUUUACAAAGCGGGGGACCCAAUUUGGGGGCGAAUUUCUUUAAUAAAGAAUAGGAUAACUCUUUCCAUCCGAGCCCGUCAGCUAACCUCGUAAGCGUAGAAAGAGAG